UGGGAAUAUUGCACAAUGGGCGCAAGCCUGAUGCAGCCAUGCCGCGUGUGUGAAGAAGGCCUUCGGGUUGUAAAGCACUUUCAGCGAGGAGGAAGGUGGUGAGCUUAAUACGCUCAUCAAUUGACGUUACUCGCAGAAGAAGCACCGGCUAACUCCGUGCCAGCAGCCGCGGUAAUACGGAGGGUGCAAGCGUUAAUCGGAAUUACUGGGCGUAAAGCGCACGCAGGCGGUUUGUUAAGUCAGAUGUGAAAUCCCCGGGCUCAACCUGGGAACUGCAUUUGAAACUGGCAAGCUAGAGUCUCGUAGAGGGGGGCUAGAAUUCCAGGUGUAGCGGUGAAAUGCGUAGAGAUCUGGAGGAAUACCGGUGGCGAAGGCGGCCCCCCUGGACGAAGACUGACGCUCAGGUGCGAAAGCGUGGGGCAGCAAACAGGAUUAGAUACCCCUGGUAGUCCACGCUGUAAAACGAUGUCGA
rnacentral:rRNA from 1 species